rnacentral:rRNA from 2 species
AAUACAUGCAAGUCGAGCGGACGUUUUUGAAGCUUGCUUCAAAAACGUUAGCGGCGGACGGGUGAGUAACACGUGGGCAACCUACCUUAUCGACUGGGAUAACUCCGGGAAACCGGGGCUAAUACCGGAUAACAUCUAGCACCUCCUGGUGCUGGAUUAAAAGAGGGCUUCUUGCUCUCACGAUGAGAUGGGCCCGCGGCGCAUUAGCUAGUUGGAGAGGUAACGGCUCCCCAAGGCGACGAUGCGUAGCCGACCUGAGAGGGUGAUCGGCCACACUGGGACUGAGACACGGCCCAGACUCCUACGGGAGGCAGCAGUAGGGAAUCUUCCGCAAUGGACGAAAGUCUGACGGAGCAACGCCGCGUGAGUGAUGAAGGGUUUCGGCUCGUAAAGCUCUGUUAUGAGGGAAGAACACGUACCGUUCGAAUAGGGCGGUACCUUGACGGUACCUCAUCAGAAAGCCACGGCUAACUACGUGCCAGCAGCCGCGGUAAUACGUAGGUGGCAAGCGUUGUCCGGAAUUAUUGGGCGUAAAGCGCGCGCAGGCGGCCUUUUAAGUCUGAUGUGAAAUCUUGCGGCUCAACCGCAAGCGGCCAUUGGAAACUGGGAGGCUUGAGUACAGAAGAGGAGAGUGGAAUUCCACGUGUAGCGGUGAAAUGCGUAGAUAUGUGGAGGAACACCAGUGGCGAAGGCGACUCUCUGGUCUGUAACUGACGCUGAGGCGCGAAA